rnacentral:rRNA from 1 species
CCAAUAGCGUAUAUUAAAGUUGUUGCAGUUAAAAAGCUCGUAGUUGAAUUUCGGGAUCAAUUUAUUGGUCGUGCUAUUGUACGUACUGGUAUUAUUGAUUCCUACCUUCUGACGAACCAUGAUGUCAUUAAUUUGGUGUCAUGGGGAAUCAGGACUGUUACUUUGAAAAAAUUAGAGUGUUUAAAGCAGGCUCCCGCUUGAAUACAUUAGCAUGGAAUAACGAAAUAGGACGUUUGAUUCUAUUUUGUUGGUUUCUAGGAUCGACGUAAUGAUUAAUAGGGAUAGUUGGGGGCAUUAGUAUUCAAUUGUCAGAGGUGAAAUUCUUGGAUUUAUUGAAGACUAACUACUGCGAAAGCAUUUGCCAAGGAUGUUUUCAUUAAUCAAGAACGAAAGUUAGGGGAUCGAAGACGAUCAGAUACCGUCGUAGUCUUAACCAUAAACUAUGCCGACUAGGGAUCGGAUGAUGUUAAUUUUUUAAUGACUCAUUCGGCGCCUUACG